rnacentral:rRNA from 1 species
AUACGGAGGGCGCAAGCGUUGUUCGGAAUCAUUGGGCGUAAAGCGCGUGUAGGUGGCUUGGAAAGUUGGGCGUGAAAGCCCGGGGCCCAACCCCGGAAUUGCACUCAAAACUCCCUCGCUAGAGUCCCGGAGAGGAAGGCGGAAUUCCCGGUGUAGAGGUGAAAUUCGUAGAUAUCGGGAGGAACACCAGUGGCGAAGGCGGCCUUCUGGACGGUGACUGACACUGAGACGCGAAAGCGUGGGUAGCAAACAGGAUUAGAAACCCUUGUAGUCC